AAAUGAAUAGACGGGGGCCCUUCCCCUCUUCUUCUCCUUUUUUUUCCUUCUCUUGUCCGCGAGGAACCUUACCUGGGUUCGAACGUAUGAGCGAUGCCGCUGAAAGGUUGCAGGCCUGCGAAGGAGUUCAUACGAGGUGCUGCAUGGUUGUCGUCAGCUCGUGCCGUGAGGUGUUUGGUUAAGUCCAGCAACGAGCGCAACCCCUACCUUUAGUUGCCAUCAGGUAAAGCUGGGGACACUAGAGGGACUGCCUGCGCAAGCAGUGAGGAAGGUGGGGAUGACGUCAAAUCAGCACGGCCCUUAUGUCCAGGGCUACACACGUGCUACAAUGGUAACUACAGAGGGCAGCGACUAGGCGACUAGGAGCGAAUCUCGAAAAGUUAUCGUAGUUCGGAUUGGAGUCUGCAACUCGACUCCAUGAAGAUGGAUUCGCUAGUAAUCGCGCAUCAGCAAUGGCGCGGUGAAUACGUUCCCGGGCCUUGUACACACCGCCCGU
rnacentral:rRNA from 1 species